AAACAGUCCCUUGUGUUUUGAUUUUUUGGCAGUUUUGGAUCUCCAAGGCAAAAAAAAAAAAAUUGACACGUGACACCUCACUUAGGGUGUCACGUCAACGUUGACCGAGUUAACAAUGAACUGGGGUCCAAAACUGCCAAAAAAUCAAAACAUAGGGGACUAUUU
rnacentral:pre_miRNA from 1 species